ACGGGACUGUAAAACCCUGAAGAGUAAGGCCCUUUAAUUCAUAUUUGCUUUCUCAGUGCGACCUUGUGUUGUAUUAGGGCCUAGGAGAUGCAUGGCACCACAAAAGAGGGCAUAUAGUAAGUGAGAUUGCUCCGGAGAGAUUUCC